rnacentral:misc_RNA from 1 species
AAAGAAUACAAUGACCAUUCUAUCAGGUAUAAAUCCAAUUGUUAAAUUUAUCAGAAACUGUUAGUCACCCGAUUAAACGAGCAGCAAGCCAUCAAGAGAUGCCCUUGUAGUCGUUUAGUUCCCCCCACACAGUCAGCUCAACCUCCUCCCACGAAUUUGCCAUUCUGAGUUCCUUCCAUAUACUGAAAAUAGCCCCCAAGACAUUCUCUUCGUGCAAGACACAGUAGCACCUGGAGAAAUGCAACCACCCAACUGAAUUACAUGAACUAUGCAUUCUGAAAACUCAUGCUGCAAGUACCAAACACUGACUGACCAAUGCAAAAGCAUGCAGCGAACAAGGAAAUUGCUGAUUUUAUAACUAAAAGAAAAUUCCUAAUUAGCAGCCAAGAUCAUAACCAUCAGUCACCAGAUAUAUUUUUAAGCAUUUUCCUUCAUUCAAGUACAAGGAAUGACCACAAACAAUGCCGAUUAAAGCACCUGAAUGCGCACAGGGCAUUCACUGCUUGAUUCAUAAAACAUCAAUUAACAAUGAUACUGUCAAGAACAAAACAGAGAAGAAGGAAAGCCCAAGCAUAAAAAUCAUUAGAAAUCAUGCACUUACAUGGCAUGAUAUGAAAGUCGUCCAAACUUGUUACUGCUCUUCACUGAUUCAUACUCGCUUGUCAACAAAGGUAGUUUAUAACUCUCCAAAAAUUUUUUAAGAAGACUGGAGUCACCUCUAAAUACAUCCAAGUAUACAGGUAUCAGGUCAUAAAUGCGGUCGCCAACAGAAAGAUCACUAAAAUCAAGAAUGUAGCUGGGACUCCAUGACUUAUCAUCUCUAACAUCUUUGUAGCCAUUCGAGUCACUAUCCAUCAGACAAGCAUCUGCAUUGUUUCCACUCAAGCAAUAGCUAACACAAUUUGGUUCCAUGUGAACAUUGUCAUCCAUAAUAUCCGAGUGUAUCCAGGAGCAAGGUUUACAGAUUUUGCACACAUCAUUUUCAUUCUGGUAUGAAUCCACCAACUUCCUAAAAUCAUCAGGGAUAUAUUCAUGAACUUUCUGUAUGAGAGUUUCUGGGAUUGGAUCUCCCCAAUUUGUCAACCGGCUUUUGAUAUUCCUUUUCUUCCUGGAUAGAGUUCUGAUGAAGAUUUCCCAUUCUGCAGGAAUGUCAGAUUUAUAGGGAGUAUCCUCUGUGGAACCAUUAGCAAAGGGCAAUUCCAUUUUUUGUUUAAUAUCUGAGAAAGUUGACUUAUUGAUAGAUGGAUAGGGUAAAAGAUGAAGGUUACGCAGCUGCUCUCCCAGAAAGCAAGCCAAAUUUAGAGUAUCUUCCGAUGACAGUCUCUCUCUUAAUUCAGCAAAUAUCUUUCCCUUGCAUCGCUUUGUGAUGAUAAAUGGCCAUAUCUGUGUGCAUCCAGCUGAAUUUGUCUGUUCAUUUAUUGACAUCCCAGCUUUUAUGCACUCAUACUGUUUCUUGGCCCACAAACCAAAAGGAAAAUCAUCCUCUUUGCAAUUCACUGGAAUAAAAUUGCACUUUCCAAUCACAUUAGGCACUCCUUUGCCAUCCCAAGGCACAAUUUUGUAAGUUCCAUUCUCAAGGUAAAGAACUCCACUCGCCAAAAUUUCAGGAACAUGAGUUUUCAGAGGAGAGUUGACUUUAUGCAACAUAGAGUAAAACUCAAGCUCAGUGCCUAAACCAUACAUUGAAGCUUCCAGACCUCCUUCAACAAAGAUUUUAACUGCUUGGUCAGCUAAGAGAUAAACAGGAUUGCUACCCGUGCCAACAGGAAGCUUUUCAUCAUCUGUGGGAAGAGGCAAAUUGUGGAAUGCACAAAUUUCUGCUAGGCAAUUGAACCAUUUGUCUGCAUUUAGUGCUAGACAUGCUCCCUUCCAUAUAAGCUCUCUUAUUCCUGUUUUUCCGAUCCAAAGCUUGGAUAGCCAUUCUCUCAUUUCUCGUUGUCCAAUGGAAUUUCCUGGGCUCCAUAGCGAACUAUAAUGGUCUUUCUCCUUAUCCAAGAAGAUGCCUAAGAAUUUUAUAUCAUAAGAAAAAACUCGUCUCCACAACUCAUAAAUUUUAGAGUCACCAUGAGUAGUUGUCUCUUGUUCAGGAUCUUCUCUGAGUUUUUGAAUUCUGACCCUCUUUUCUUUCCUUGUCAGGUCUGGGUAACUUAGAUCAUCUUCAUGAUUCACUGCAUUCUUUUCAACGUCUCGUAAAAUGUCUUCAUCAACAGCCAAAAAUCCAGCACGGCAAAUUCCUUUAUGACGAUAACCUGGUGCCAUAUCCAGACAUACAUAUUCAAAGUUUUUGGAAUUUGCAAAGUUUUGUGUAACAGCAAUAGUUGUUUCAAGAUUUAGGACACAGUGCCACCAUCCGCUUGGAACAAAAAUUGUCUCCCCUGGAAGCUGGGUACACUCUAUUGGCUUGUCUUCAUCAGCAAGAAGUGGAUAAAAAUCUAGCCACCACUGCAGUGAUGAUGGAGUAUCAAUAUUUAUAUCACCAUCUUCUUCAUUUACAUGUACUGUGACACCCAUGGGUACCCUACCAGGGGGAUACAAAGCCCACCUUUUACGACCAUAUAGAAGAGUAUUCCAGGCACUGGUGAGUGCAGGAUCAACAUGCCAAGAUGCACCAGACCUCUCUGGUCCAAUAAUAAGCCAUCUAAAGGGUGGUCGCUGUUCUCUAUCUAGGACCUCGAAAAAGUCUUCUAGAAAUAGAUGAGGCACACAGUAAUCUUUCAAUAAGCCGGGUGCAGUUUCCCCAAACUUCUCAUCAAAAAUAUAUAGCGGAUCCUCAUCAUGCUGAAAGUUCAUGUAUGAGACAUAAUCCUUGAAUUUCAUUGAAACUUUCCGAGAGCUCCUCUGAGAAAUUUUAAAAGCUUUAUCUCCAUAUUUCAUUGACAGCUGAUCAAUUGUCCAUGUAUUCCUCGCUGGCCAAUCGUCAGCCAAUCCGGAAAGUAAAACCGGUUUUGUCCCAUCAUACUGAGAGAAAAAUUCUUCUGAAGAGAGGCCUUUCUUUCUUUCCACAUUUCCAACAUCAAAUGAAAACUCACGCAAUGUGAUAUUGCACCUGUAAAAUCUUCUAUACAAGAAUAAAGAGUUGAAACCAUCAAAAUGAAGUUGUUUUCCACAACGUUCUUUAUAUUCAUCUGGCACAUUCUCUAAAUGCAGCGUUGUUUUCUUCCAGGAUCCUUCGUACUCAAGCGGACCAUUAACCUUGUUGAGGCAUAAACUCAUCCAUAGCGGUUCUUCAUUGCAUAAUAUAUACAUCACACUGCUGACGCAAGAGAGACGAGCGACAUCUCGAGGAGUAAGAUUCUCCAAAAUAGCACAGACGAGCUCAUCGGGAAGGACUUUGAGGUUGCCGAGAGCGUCGGGUCUGCGAUCCCUUAUCUGAAAAGCUUGGAGUUGAGAAUUAUCCAUGGAUGGAAAUAAAAUUAUCAGAAAUUGGCUAGCUUUGCAGGUUUGGGUACUUUAUAAAUGUUUGCACCGGAGAGAAAACGCGGCGGGCUACCUUGCCGUUUAGAAAAAGCGCGCCUUCUCUCCUCGCCCUCG